CUAGACUCAGGUUCAAGUCAGAAAGUCAAGGCAGAAUCGUCUGAGUCAGAGCCUGUUGUUAAAGCUCUAAAAAGUGUGUUCAAAUUCCUGGCUGGAGAUCUAAGAAGAGAGGAAGGAGCACAUUCAGAACUGGGGGUCACAGAAGAAACUUUAAGCCGAAAGGAGCCCUAGUGUGUGGAAUGGCACUUGCAGGAAGCAGCUGGCAUUAGGAUCAUUUAUCAUCUGUUGUCAGUGCUGUUCUCUGACCUGGAGCUUGGAGGCCCGGCUAUUGUAAACCCACAGAAGAAAACUCAAAACUUAUGCAGAAUUAUUGAUUGUUUUCUCCACCCAGAAGAAAUUGUUUUUCCUGGAAAGUCAGCCAUAUGGUGCCACAGAGGUGGAAGGCACCACACCCCUCUAAGGAAUGCUCCACUUCUGACCAACUCCUUUCACAUCGGCAACUGUUGCCACGGUUCUUGUCUGAGACCCCAGAGAGCUGUUCUGAAUUGUCUCUUGGAUUCAUCCGGGCACCCUUCCAUUACUGUUGGCUUCUAGUAGUCAUGGAAAUUACAAGUUGUCCUGUUUAGUGUGGCAGCUGGAUUAUACAUCCCCAUAUGUGGUCAUAUGACACAGUGACACCAGUCUGGACCAUGUGACUACUUGCCCAGUGGAAUGUACACAGAAGUAGAGUAUACUGUAACCAAGCAGAAGCUUUGAGAACCCUAGUGUCCUUCAGCCAUUUCUCCCUCCCUCUGCAAUGCCAAAGUCACACCCCCACAGGAACUGAUCCUUUCAGCCUGGCUCCUGGAAUGAGAAGAUAGAUAGAGAGGAGCUGCAGCUGAUCCACAGAUGACUCGUAACAUGAACAAGAAAUAAAUCUUUAUUAGUGUAAGUCAUUGAGACUUUGCCUUUGUUUGUUCAUGCAAAUAACCUAGCAAAAUUUGAUAAUACACAGUCUUCACUACACUGUGAUAGAUUUAAAAUAAAUGACUAUUUUAGUUCUAAUGUGUAGAAGCAGAUAUGACUUGGAAAUUUACAAAAAAGCUUGAUAUUUGCAUUGGGUUCAUUGUCAUUGAGUUUUCACCAUUUAAAUCACAGCCUUGUCC
rnacentral:lncRNA from 1 species